UGUCAUGGUGUAUAGCCAAAGCAAAUAAUAAACUUAUUUUCUCUCAAUGAUAAAACAUAAAAAAAAAAAAACCCCAAAUCGAAAACCUCUGUCUCUUCAACUCCGACUCCACCACCGUAAAGCUCUUCGCCGACCUCAUUUCAUGUCCAUUCCAUCCUUAUCCUUCAUCCUCCAGCUUGGUUCACAUGGUCGAUUCCUCCGAUACAGAUAACACCAAUCGGGACACGGAUCUAGAUCGAGAUCGAGAGGCCACCAAGUUUGUUUCUGAAUCGUCACGAGGUUUGUUUCAUGGUGAGCUAGAGGUCUUCGCUUCUCAGUGUUUGGGAAUAAUGUUCCUGGAGAGAAGAAGUAUGGUGGUUUCUUUUUCUUUUUCUUCUCUUGCUUCUUCUCUGGCCACAAACUACUCUUUCAUGGUUCUGAAUUCUUACCUCUUGAUAUUGAGAAAAAUCGUAAGCUUACUUUGUCUUAGUUUUGGUAUAUGUGUAAAAAGGCUACUGCCAUGGCUAUUAACCGGAUUUUGAAUCAAACACAGCUUACAUGAAAAAUCAUAUGUUGGUUUCAUCGGAAAUGAGGAUUGUUGUUGUUUUGCCUUUGUUAUAGGGUGAAUGAAUCUUUUGACGCUAGAGAAAUGGAGUAUGUGCGGUUAGUAUCCUCUGUUUGUUGGAUAUAUAUGGUGAGAUCACAUUUGUUUUGAACUUGUAUUCUUUUGGUAAGUUGUGAAGAAGAGAGAGAUGGAACCUUAGGAGUCUCUAGAAGUGACGCAGUCAAGGCUCUCUCCUACUCCGUUUCUUACUUUGCCUCAGUCAGAUGGUCCAUUGAGCUAUAAGUUUUCGUUGCAUCAGUCAGGUUUGGUUUGAUUGUACACCCCUAGAUCUAUUGGGUUAUAUCAAUUUCUAUCACUCUUUGUCGCUUUAGAUCUUAUCCCCAAAUUCUUCUUCUUCUUAAAAGCUUUUGGGUUAGAUUUUGUUAGGUUUUGAUUGAUUUGGGUUGGAUUUAUUUCUUAGAAGCUUUUGACCGGAGUGGAGUGGUGUAUGUUCUGAUGAACCUUUUCAUGCCCUUAAGGUGUUCGACGAAUUGCCUCAUUAUUGGCUGGCUUGUUUCUUAAUUGUUUUGUGUUGAUUUUGGUUUUGUGGUGUUGCUCUUGAACCUUUCAGGUGCUUACGAUUCUUGUCACUAACCUAUAGAAGAGUAGAGUAGAGUUCUGGUUUAUCUUUGAUGGGGUUUUGUUUCUUACCGUAAGUGAAGAUGUUUCCAACUAGAUCUUACUUUUGCAUCUUUGGGAUGGGUGUUUUUCCCCAGUCUAGAAAUAAGUAAUUUUCUGCUUAAGUUUUUGUUGGAUUUCUUAUCUCUUUUCCUUAAUUUAUGAAAGGUUGUGACUUUAGCAGUUUGAUUAAACAUAUCUAAAUGGGUAUUGAUUUGUUGAUAGUUUAGAGAAAAGUCUUUGACUUUUAGCAGUUUCAUUGAACAAGUCUAUAUGUAACUGAGUUUUAUUACAAUUCAUGAUUGGAUUUCUGAUUUUGUUGAAAGAAAGUAAUGAGUUUUAAACUUAAUUUGGUGCUUGUAGCUCUUCUGUGAAGAAAUACUCAUUGGAUGCUCCUCUACGUCAACCUCUUUUAAGUUAUCUCUCCUCAAGCACAAAGCUUUUACUCUAGAGGUUGGUUUGUGAUUCAUGUAUUUUUGUGAGGCUUCUAUGAACAGAUUUCUGAGGUCAUGGAGUUUAGAUGUUUCAUAUUUGUUAUGAGGAGUGCACUUAUAGUUGUCUCUGCAUUCAGAUAAUUGUGUUCACCAAAAACCCCAAUCGAAGGGAAGAUGAAAAUUAAGAAUUUGCAAAGUCUACGGGUAUCAAGAGCUUUGUAAGGAACUACUCUCGGAACAACUGUGUACUUGAGUUCGUGAACGUUUAUGAGCCAACCAUUUGGAUGUAUCUAGGAAAGCUACGAUUUUUCUACCACAGUCGGCUUUGAAAUCUAUAUUUUCUGUUAUUAGUAAUGUAAGUUAGUAUAAGAAUUGGUAUAAUAUUAUGUAUUACUUGUUUUGGGUAAUGUAAUAUUGUUAUUGUUUAUGUUGAUGAUUUAUGGAAUAUAAAUUUAUUGAUAAA